UAGUGUCAACUCAGCCCUCCCAAGAAGGCAGU
rnacentral:piRNA from 1 species